CGGACGGGUGAGUAACACGUAGAUAACCUACCUAUAAGACUGGGAUAACUUCGGGAAACCGGAGCUAAUACCGGAUAAUAUAUUGAACCGCAUGGUUCAAUAGUGAAAGACGGUUUUGCUGUCACUUAUAGAUGGAUCCGCGCCGCAUUAGCUAGUUGGUAAGGUAACGGCUUACCAAGGCAACGAUGCGUAGCCGACCUGAGAGGGUGAUCGGCCACACUGGAACUGAGACACGGUCCAGACUCCUACGGGAGGCAGCAGUG
rnacentral:rRNA from 1 species